CGAAAUGAAUUAGAUCCAUUUAUUCUCAACCUGCAUAGCCACCGCACUGUCCUCCUCAACCGCUAUGUUUAUGUGGAUGAGCGCAGCGCAUGGCCGCAUACAGUGGGGAGAAAAUGAAGCCCGUUUUCCCCAGCAGAACAAGGAUGUUGACUGAUACACCAUUCUGAUAUACUCCAGACGCAAGCAUCAUGUCCCAGUCCAGACAGUGCCACUGUUCCAAAUGCCCGUCAAGAUGAAGUGAAGUAUUACAUUGAUAAAUCGGGCCAUUGAUCUGGAAAUAGCAAAAUGCCCAUAUUUGGAAGCUAAGCAUUCUCUGUGGUUAAUUAGGUCCUGAAACUCCAUCUGCUUACUCUUUUUGGUUCGAGGAUUGAACUGUGGCUAAUUAUGAACAUUGAGCAAUUCUGCUGAAGGCAAAACAAGUUGUGAAAAAGUAAUAUUUUAACACCGCAGUGCGUCAGGUAUUUUUAUGUUUCACUUGUUGGAUUUUUAAUAUGAAUUGAUUUGUUUAAAAAAAAAAUUU